ensembl:lncRNA
UUAACAUACUUCUUUAAUCAUUUCAAUCUUGUACAAGUUAAUGUAAAUUUCUGAAAGCAAAAGGUGGUAUCGCAUGCAUUCUGCCAGAAGGUGGAGCUCCAGGAACCAUCCUAGUUCAGUCUCAGUUCAGUUGUUUAAAAACAGAGCAGACAUACAUUGAGUCAGUCAUACUCAGAGAGAGAACUGUAAGUCUUGACUCUCAAAGUCAUUGUCUCUCAUUAGUGCAGAUGUUGCCCCUCGUAUUCAUUAUAUUUUCUCUCCUAAAAGAGACUGCUGGUGAAGAUGUCAUAAAACCAGUCUCCACACAGAAGCAGGUUUUGGAAGGAAAAGAUGUUACACUGAUCUGCAACUACACCGAAGCUGUUCAAAAUUUACAAUGGUAUCGUCAGUAUCCCGGAUCCAAACCUGAGCACCUCAUCACGUUCUUUGAGACCACACAGAGCACGACAGAGGACGCUCUCCGUCUGACCGCUGCGGCUGAUAAAGCAGCUAAAAGUAUGACUCUGACGAUCUCUUCUACAGAAGUGAAAGACUCUGCCAUGUACUACUGUGCCCUGGUGCCCACAGUGACAGGAAACACAACUACACUGUACAAAAACAGAAUCCUGAUAGAAGUCUCAACUCAAAAGAAACAGAAGCAUGUUACUCAUCUCAUCCGUUUUCAUUUUAAUCCUCAGUUACUGUGAAUCUAAUGGAAAUGUCAUCAGACCAAACCAGCCGUCUGUAGUUUUAACUGAAGGAAGCAGCACCACUCUGUCCUGUUCAUAUGAUCGAUCAGCUUACAGUCUUCACUGGUAUCGACAGAAGCCUGGAUCAAAACCAGAGUUUCUGCAGCUGAUUGUUGAGUCUUCCAAGUAUGUCAACAAAGCUGACCAACCUCAUCCACAUAUGUCCAUCAGACUCCAUGAUAAUAAAAGUGUGGAUCUGGAGAUCUCCUCUGCUGGUGUAUCAGACUCUGCAGUGUAUUACUGUGCUCUGGAGCCCACAGUGACAGGAAACCCCUCUACACUGUACAAAAACCUUCUUGUUAUCUGCCUGAUGAACAAUCAUAUUUCUCUACCAUGAUCUCUGUGAUAUUCCAUUUUGCUGAUGAUCUGAAUAUGGCAUUUAA